UUUAAAGUCUAAUCUGCCCUAUGAGGAAUUAAAUGGCCGCGGUAUUUUGACCGUGCAAAGGUAGCAUAAUAAUUAGUUUUUUAAUUGAAAGCUGGAAUGAAUGAUUGGACGAGAAAAUUACUGUCUCAAAUUAGAUUUAUUAGAAUUUUAUUUUUAAGUUAGAAAGCUUAAAUUUUUUUAAAAGACGAGAAGACCCUAUAGAGUUUAAUAAUUAUAUUUAUAUUGAUUUUGUAGAAUUUUUGGUUUAAUAUAAAUAUAAUUAUUUUGUUGGGGUGAUAGAAAAAUUGAAUAAACUUUUUUUAAAUUAUUACAUUAAUUUAUGAUUAAAUGAUCCAUUAUUUAUGAUUAUAAGAUUAAAUUACCUUAGGGAUAACAGCGUAAUUUUUUUUUAGAGUUCUUAUCGAUAAAAAAGAUUGCGACCUCGAUGUUGGAUUAAAAUAAAUAUUUGGUGUAGGGGCUAAAUAAUUAGGUCUGUUCGACCUUUAAAAUUUUACA
rnacentral:rRNA from 1 species